GAUGAACGCUGGCGGCGUGCCUAAUACAUGCAAGUCGAGCGAACAGAUGAGAAGCUUGCUUCUCUGAUGUUAGCGGCGGACGGGUGAGUAACACGUGGGUAACCUACCUAUAAGACUGGGAUAACUCCGGGAAACCGGGGCUAAUACCGGAUAAUAUUUUGAAUCGCAUGGUUCAAUAGUGAAAGACGGUUUCGGCUGUCACUUAUAGAUGGACCCGCGCCGUAUUAGCUAGUUGGUAAGGUAACGGCUAACCAAGGCGACGAUACGUAGCCGACCUGAGAGGGUGAUCGGCCACACUGGAACUGAGACACGGUCCAGACUCCUACGGGAGGCAGCAGUAGGAAAUCUUCCGCAAUGGGCGAAAGCCUGACGGAGCAACGCCGCGUGAGUGAUGAAGGUCUUCGGAUCGUAAAACUCUGUUGUUAGGGAAGAACAAAUUCGUUAGUAACUGAACAAGUCUUGACGGUACCUAACCAGAAAGCCACGGCUAACUACGUGCCAGCCGCCGCCGUAA
rnacentral:rRNA from 1 species